UGAACGCUGGCGGCGUAGCCUAACACAUGCAAGUCGAACGAAGCACUGGAAACGGAGAUUCGUCGAAGUUUCUUUGACUUAGUGGCGGACGGGUGAGUAAUGUAUGAGCAACCUGCCUUUCAGAGGGGGACAACAGUUGGAAACGACUGCUAAUACCGCAUAAUGUAUUUGGGUGGCAUCACCUGGAUACCAAAGGAGCAAUCCGCUGAAAGAUGGGCUCAUAUCUGAUUAGCUAGUUGGCGGGGUAACGGCCCACCCAAGGCGACGAUCAGUAGCCGGACUGAGAGGUUGAACGGCCACAUUGGGACUGAGAUACGGCCCAGACUCCUACGGGAGGCAGCAGUGGGGAAUAUUGGGCAAUGGGCGAAAGCCUGAUCCAGCAACGCCGCGUGAAGGAAGAAGGUCUUCGGAUUGUAAACUUCUUUUAUGAGGGACGAAGGACGUGACGGUACCUCAUGAAUAAGCCACGGCUAACUACGUGCCAGCAGCCGC
rnacentral:rRNA from 1 species